rnacentral:rRNA from 1 species
AUUGAACGCUGGCGGCAUGCCUUACACAUGCAAGUCGAACGGUAACGCGGGGCAACCUGGCGACGAGUGGCGAACGGGUGAGUAAUAUAUCGGAACGUGCCCAGUAGUGGGGGAUAGCCCGGCGAAAGCCGGAUUAAUACCGCAUGAGACCUGAGGGUGAAAGCGGGGGAUCGCAAGACCUCGCGCUAUUGGAGCGGCCGAUAUCAGAUUAGGUAGUUGGUGGGGUAAAGGCCUACCAAGCCGACGAUCUGUAGCUGGUCUGAGAGGACGACCAGCCACACUGGGACUGAGACACGGCCCAGACUCCUACGGGAGGCAGCAGUGGGGAAUUUUGGACAAUGGGCGAAAGCCUGAUCCAGCCAUGCCGCGUGCAGGAAGAAGGCCUUCGGGUUGUAACUGCUUUAGUCUAGGAAAAGGGGUAGGACGGAGGUUAAGUACCCUACGUGACUUUGUAUGGUACUGGAAGAAUAAGACACCGGCUAACUACGUGCCAGCAGCCGCGGUAACUAGUA